GGGCGGUUAGUUUAGUGGUAGAACGCUACUUUGACACGGUAGAGGUCGAUGGUUCGAUUCCAUCACUGCCCACCA
rnacentral:tRNA from 1 species